rnacentral:tRNA from 1 species
UCGGCGACUGGCUCACGGGAGAGCAGCAUCCCGUCGCGAUGUUCGAGGUCGACGCAUUGCGCGGCGCGGUCUCGGUCGAGCGCUUCGAA